rnacentral:rRNA from 1 species
UACGAAGGGGACUAGCGUUGUUCGGAUUUACUGGGCGUAAAGCGCGCGUAGGCGGAUCGCUAAGUCAGGGGUGAAAUCCCAGGGCUCAACCCUGGAACUGCCUUUGAUACUGACGAUCUGGAGAUCGGGAGAGGUUGGUGGAAUUCCGAGUGUAGAGGUGAAAUUCGUAGAUAUCGGGAGGAACACCGGUGGCGAAGGCGGCGACCUGGGUAGAUACUGACGCUGAGGCGCGAAAGCGUGGGGAGCAAACAGG